CUUUCGAGAUAGGGCUACACACGUGCUACAAUGGCGCAUACAAAGAGAAGCGACCUCGCGAGAGCAAGCGGACCUCAUAAAGUGCGUCGUAGUCCGGAUUGGAGUCUGCAACUCGACUCCAUGAAGUCGGAAUCGCUAGUAAUCGUAGAUCAGAAUGCUACGGUGAAUACGUUCCCGGGCCUUGUACACACCGCCCGUCACACCAUGGGAGUGGGUUGCAAAAGAAGUAGGUAGCUUAACCUUCGGGAGGGCGCUUACCACUUUGUGAUUCAUGACUGGGGUGAAGUCGUAACAAGGUAACCGUAGGGGAACCUGCGGUUGGAUCACCUCC
rnacentral:rRNA from 1 species